rnacentral:lncRNA from 1 species
CAAGUGACUUUAUCAUGCACAUAAAUUAUGUGGAGUCAUAGAUUGUCUCUUUUCAUCAUUAAUUAUAUAUUUUAAUUGAAGUGUAAAUUUACAAUGUUGUAUUAGUUUCAAGUGCACAGCAAACUGAUUUAUAUAUAUACAUAUAUAUGAAUAUAUAUAUAUAUUCUUUUUCAGAUUCUUCUCCUUUAUAGGUUAUUAUAAGAUAUGAGUAUAGUUUCCUGUGCUAUAUAGUAGGUCCCUGUUUAUAUAUUUUAUGUAUAGUAGUGUGUAUAUGUUAAUCCUAAGCUCCUAAUUUAUCUCUCUCUCCUUGCCCUUUGGUAACCAUAAUUUCUUUUCUAUGUCUGUGUGUCUUUUUGUAAAUAAGUUCCUCUGUAUCAUUUUUAAAAACUCUAUCUAUAAGUGAUAGCAUAUGAUAUUUGUCUUUCUUUGUCCAAUUUACUUUGCUUAAUAUGAUAAUUUCUUGAUCUUAUUUUACUUUACCCUCAUGGCAACCCCACUAUUGAGGAUAUAGAGAAUCAGAGAGUUUUAUAAACUUGCUGAAGGCCACACAUCUACUAAAGAAUGUACCUCAAGUUCAGAUCUACAGACUCAAGAGUUCUAAUGCAGUGACUAAUCCAUUAUAUCAGACAACUUGUACCUCACCCACCACACAACACAUACCUUGCCCUGCACCAGGCAUUUUUACCAGGAGCCCCGAAGAGAAGACCAUGGCCCUGGCCACAUGGACCUUGUCUCCUGAAGGUGUGACAUCAUCUUGUUCUAGUCAAACCAAGCCGGCGAAUCCGAGAAAGAAACACACAGGAACCCAUUUGUAACAAUGCAUAAAUAAUAAACUGAUCUGAUUUAGGAUAGCAGAGAGAAAUAACAGAAGAGAGGGACUGAGGUGGGUAUUUAUUAUACAGGAUAAUCACACUAAGUAUGUCCUGUCAGCUCCUACACUUCCACUCUUCACCCUUAUUGACCCUGAUCUGGGCCCCCAAUACUCUGAUGGUCCCUUUCACUUUGGUUUCCAGUUGGGUUUGACAAAUGGGAGGUGCCAGCAGGAGCCUUGAGAGGUGGAGGGGACCACAGUGGGAUUUUUCAGGCCCUGAUCCCCUCCCUGCUGGCUGUCUGCAUCCCACCAUCUAAGGUGACAUUUCCUGCCAAGCUGCCUCCUCCCUAUGGUCACAUGGUCCUGUGGCCACCCCCCAACCCUUGCCCUACCUAUUCAGGCUUAGCAUGGUAAUGGCUCUCUUCUGUUUCUGACCUCAGGGUACUACACUAUUGUCAUGGAAGUUCCUUGCAUCUCAUCACCCCUUGGUAAAGAGGCUGUUUACUAAACUCUCUUCCAUCAUCUGGCUCAGUGUACCAUCUGUGUUUUCCCAGAACCUCAAGUGAUGCAGUGAAUAAGCAAACAAGAUUGUCAGUGAACCAUCUUUGUAGGCAAAACUAUGGAAACAUAUUCACAUCCUCCUAAGAGGAUGACAGAUGGUAACCAUGUGAGACUUGACUCUCUUAUCCUCACUUCCUUCUUGUUUGCUACUCCUCUAGAACAGGAAUGAGGUCAGAUAUUUUGCAGAGCUGCAUAUUUGGCCCAGGAGAUCAUCAAGUAGCAACUCCCAACACCGUGAAGCUAGGAUUCCCCACCAAGGGAGGAAGGAAUGACAAACAGCACUAGCUGCAACCAGUCAUACCUAGUUGGUGCCUUCAAGGACCUCACCUCAGGAGUUCUCACUGUAGCACAACAGGAUCAUUUUUUUUUAAAAAAAAAAAAGGACCUUGGCUCAGUACCAGUCCUGUCAAUCUUCAAGGUCUUACCAUCUCCAGGGAGGGAGGCCUCUGACCACAGCUCUACCUCACAAAAAGGCCAACAGCCCCUGAGCCUACUUAUCUGCUGGCUCUGACAGAUGGAUCCCAGAACUCACCAGACCAAAUGAUUUUAUUUCCCUCAACACAUCCAUGUGCAUGAAGGCAGUCAAUGAAUUAAUUGUAUUAGGAAACCUACUAAGCCGAGGACAAUUGCUUCAAAAGAAGAACCAAAAAGGUGCUGAAAGACAGAAGGCAAACGAACCUCAGAGGCAUCUUUAGAAAUGGACAAUUAUGAUCCAUUAAGCCUAGUUAAGGGACUGAAAUUUAUGAGGAGGAAACAUCUGGAACUGCCUGGAAUGCAAAGGAACCAGAAGGAACCACUGUUUGGGCUUGUAGAGAGCAGCCCAGACAAAUGGGAUUCUGUGUUAGGAGAGAAUUGCAAAAUCAGAACAUGAAAAGGACAGAAUGGAGGCAACGCAUCUGGGGUUAAGUGAAGCAUUUUAAUACAGUGGCUCCUGGAUUUGCUCUUGAAAUAUUAAUUGAAAUUGGGAUGAAUAUGAGGGCUGUCACAUGAAUAGAAAACUGGCAGGAAGAUCAUAAAUACUGGCUAAGCUGAGCCAAGUCAACAGAACACAGCAAUGCAACAGAAAGUAAUGAAGACACUGCUGAAUUCAUAGCCAUGAACCCUGCAGAUGCUUAAUAAAUAUUAAUUGAUAAUAAUGAACUAUAGUACAGGGUGGUAAAUUAGUGCGAGACAGUUAAGCUGCUGAAAAACAGCUAAUAUAUAUAUGGUUGGUAUAACAUACAAUGAUGAAUGAACAAGGAGAAAGGAAAAUAAAACUGAUUUAUUGGUGAGGUGCAUUUUGCCUGGCAACAGGACAUAUGGGAAAGAGAAUAUUAAUAGAAGGGUGGGGAGGGGUGGCUUGAGGGGAUGAGAGGAAAGUUGAGACAAUAAUUCAGGAUCACAAUAGAGCUUUCCUAGCGUCUCGGCAAUUCCUUAAGUAUAAGCCAGGCACCUUGGAGUCAUAUCCUGUUCCUUUAAAACACUGUGGCAUUCUCAAUAAAUUUUUGCUCCCAGGAACCCAGAGACACCAUAGAUUAAUCUGGACCAAUUUCCCAGAAGGGGAUAUGAAAGCUCUCCUCCUAGGGAAGCCAGCUCUGAUCCACACAGCCAGAGUACAACCUUUUCUUUUUAAAUCUCAUCACUCUUGUUGCUUGUGUCACUGCUUAUCUCCUAGAAUUACUAUGAUUUUUGUAUAUGUGAUUAUAUUUUUUAAGCUUUGUAAAGUAGAAAUAAUGCCUUGCAUUUUC